rnacentral:rRNA from 1 species
UGUGUAGGCGGUUCUUUAAGUUUGGUGUGAAAUCUCCCGGCUCAACUGGGAGGGAGCGCCGAAUACUGAGGGACUAGAGUACGGGAGAGGAAAGUGGAAUUCCUGGUGUAGUGGUGAAAUGCGUAGAUAUCAGGAGGAACACCGGUGGUGUAGACGGCUUUCUGGACCGUAACUGACGCUGAGACACGAAAGCGUGGGUAGCAAACAGGAUUAGAUACCCUGGUAGUCCACGCCCUAAACGAUGCAUAUUUGGUGUGGGCAGUUCAUUCUGUCCGUGCCGGAGCUAACGCGUUAAAUAUGCCGCCUGGGGAGUACAGUCGCAAGGCUGAA